rnacentral:lncRNA from 1 species
ACACUCGGCUCCGCAGCCGGGCCCCGAGCGAGCUCCGCGAGUCCUGGCGAGAGCCGAGGGCUCCCCGGGUUCAAAGGGCCGCAGCCCCGAGGGAACGCCCUCCUUGCUGUGCCCCGGGGGGCAGAAGCGGACUGCUGGGCGGUGGGACCGGCCUGGGCCACGGCUUAGUAAUUCUGACUUUUGAAAUCUCCUGUCGUGAACAAAUCUACACUGCACUUUAUUUCUUGCCCCGUCCUGGAAUUCAGCCACUCCUGCACUACAUUUCUUAAGGUGAAGAAGUGAAAGACGAAGACACCAAUCCAAGUGAACGUGUGUUAUUCUCUUCUAUAAUGCUAUUGUAUUAUAUUCCCUCUUUUUUUUAAAUUCUCUUGAUUUCUCUGCACAAAAGAGGGAAAUUCUUCCAAAGCAACGGAAAGUUUCCUUGAAAUACUUUUAUCUAGUCACACUUACAUAGUGUAAUGUCUCUCUCUUACAGCAUUGUACAGUUUGGGAUUUGUUUUUAAUCCUGUGGAAAAUGUCCUAACAGGGCUUUGGUGUAUCUUUGUUCCAAUUUCUACAUUGCUUGGGGAGGGGGAGAAGCUUUCUUUGUAUUAAAUGAAAUACACCACUACUUCAUUAAAUAAAUAGACACCUCAACCAUUAGUUGCUAAUGAAACAAAAAUCUAAGUAAAACAUCUAACUAUCCAAAUACUACAUUUUCUCUACCUUUGCCCCAAAAUGUGCCUCAUCUCCCUGCACCUCCAAAUAAUAUUUCUAGUGUUUUCAUUUUAUUAGUUUUGCAAUGUCACUGUCCAGAUAGAAUUAUUCGAUGACUUAAAACAACUUUCGUAAGAUUUUCAAGCCCUAAAUUAAAAAAUCAUAUUUCAAUACAA